GUGUGGCCUCAAAUCAGGUAGGAUUACCCGCUGAACUUAAGCAUAUCAAUAAGCGGAGGA
rnacentral:rRNA from 1 species